AUUGAACGCUGGCGGCAGGCCUAACACAUGCAAGUCGAACGGUAACAGGAAGCAGCUUGCUGCUUUGCUGACGAGUGGCGGACGGGUGAGUAAUGUCUGGGAAACUGCCUGAUGGAGGGGGAUAACUACUGGAAACGGUAGCUAAUACCGCAUAACGUCGCAAGACCAAAGAGGGGGACCUUCGGGCCUCUUGCCAUCGGACGUGCCCAGAUGGGAUUAGCUAGUAGGUGGGGUAACGGCUCACCUAGGCGACGAUCCCUAGCUGGUCUGAGAGGAUGACCAGCCACACUGGAACUGAGACACGGUCCAGACUCCUACGGGAGGCAGCAGUGGGGAAUAUUGCACAAUGGGCGCAAGCCUGAUGCAGCCACGCCGCGUGUAUGAAGAAGGCCUUCGGGUUGUAAAGUACUUUCAGCGGGGAGGAAGGGAGUAAAGUUAAUACCUUUGCCCAUUGACGUUACCCGCAGAAGAAGCACCGGCUAACUCCGUG
rnacentral:rRNA from 1 species